UGAAGUGACGAACCACGAAUGUAGCCAGCAGAAUAUUGCUGAGGAGUUGGCUAAUAAUGAACUGGCGACAACGGGGAGCAUCAUGGCGGAGGUGGAGAAGAUUGCUGAUGAAAAUGUCGGCGAUUUCUUCCGACGAACCCACAGGAAGCACUGCAGUUUCAACGUACCGGUGGAUAUGAGAACAGUUCCGGCCUCCGCUCACAGCCAUGGAACGCUCCUCACAUGUGUGAAGUACUUUACACCUCAAUCAAGAUCAGGGGACGGAGGCAUCGCUUGGGGCUCGUAGUGAUGCAAGAACUGGUAUAUGCGUACAUACAUGGCACUAGCCCGAAUAUCCCUCUAGCACGAGUGGGAUAGCACGAAUAUUAUCUGUUUUAGUUUCGCUACAUGCCGAUACGGUGUUUCCCUCUGGCUGAGAAUGGCGAAGCUGUAUUCCAGUCAAAUCUGCAUCAAGAUGUACCUUCCAUGUAACUAUGGUGGAGGAAAGGGACUGCAUGAGACCAGUGUGAUUUGUUUUACUAUGUGCAAUCAACCUAUUCAUGUACACACGCUUAUUUAAUUUGGGGACACAGGAAGGACUCCGUGCAAUGAGUUCUUUUUAAUGUAUUUAUAUGUACGUCAUAAUAUUUGCAUGCUAUGAAAUGAAUCGAACACUCCCUAGUACCUUGCAAACACAACAACGAAGCAAAUGUGCAUCUGAAUAGCCUUUGCUGAUGUUUAAUUUCCACUGCAAUUUUGUUUGUGCAAAUAAGCCCAUACAAAUUUCUUGCUCAAUGUAUACGAUAAUUGAAAUAAAUACACUUGUAACAAAUA